rnacentral:hammerhead_ribozyme from 1 species
AUCCGGAUGAUGAGUCCCAAAUAGGACGAAAUGCGCCUCCUCGAU